CCGUCCCAGGCCGGGUGUCCGGCCGGGCCCGCGGGGAGAGCGCGGAGCGAUCCCCACGCGUGGCUCCGGCCCCUGCACGGACACCGGGAACGACCUGCCGGCCGAGGCGGGUCCCGGCCCGCCCUGUCCCUGCGCCAGCCCCGCAGGCAGCGAAUGCUGCGGCAGCCGAACCCCCCCGCGGCCCCGCCCGGUUGCGAAGGAAGCGGCGUCGCCGGUUGCUACGAGGCCGGCAGGACGCGCGGAGCGGGCCCGGCGCUGGCGGCGGAGCGGGCCCGGCGCUGCAUGGAGCUCGGCGGGAAGGCCGGCGGGGCGGCGCGGGGGCAGCUCCUCUCCGGGGUCCCGCAGGACCGCGCGGGAGGGCGGCGGAGCGUCCCUGUGGGUAGAGAUUUAAUAUUUCAUUUUGAACAGGAUUUACAAGAAGAACGUCGGGCAUUGAAAGAGGAUCAAAAAAUGCAUCGGAGCAAGGCAAUGAAAUAUUUGAUGGAGACAAACAGAAGAAGAAGAGCCUUUGAAGAAAGACAGAAGGAAGAAGAAGCAAAAGAACGAAGAUUUAGAGAACAAGUUCUGCAGCAGAGGAAAAUUAAAUUUCAGGAGGCAACUGCUAAGUUCCAACAUGCUCAUCAGUCCUUUUCUCAGCAGAAACAAACAGCUCUGAACCCUCCAGUCCAAAAAAAAGCAGCUUUUCAGUUAGAAGAAGCUCUUGAACAAAUUAAAGGAUCAGUUUUAACACCAGGACUCUGCUUGCAAAACAUAAACAAAAUCAACAUCAGAACCACAGAUGACCCUUCAUCCUCAUCAGCAUGUAGAAGUGAUUCUUUCCCUCAGAAGCAGAAUUCAGCAAUGUUUGGCUGUGAUGAAACAAUACAGGAGAGCAGUAGAACAGACAUGGAUAGUCACCAACUUCUCUUCCAGAAAAAUCUGAAAGAAAUGCAACAGCUCCUUGAAAAACAGCAUCUCAACAACUUGGAGAAUUUUCAUCAAGAAGUCAAAGAAACAGAUGAUUCAGAAAGCAUGAUGAGCCUUGACAGUCUUGAGGCUGGAGAACAAAAUGGAAAUUGCAUAACACAGAGUGAAUCAUCUUUUACCACACAGUGUGACUGUGCCCUGUAUGAUCCAGAAAAAUGCCAGACUAGGAAUAAUGGUUUACUUCACACAGAUCAAAGUACUUCUAAAAAUGUGCAUCUAAAUAAUUGUCUGAGAAAUGUAGAUUUGCUGCACUACCACAACAUACCUAUUCAUGAUCUUUUAGCUAAACAUAAUGUUCUAACUCCUGCUGAACAUCUAAACACUUCAGAAGAGGAAUCAUCUGUUUCUCACAAAUCUGGAAAACAACCUGCAGAAUUCUCUGCCUCUGGUAAGCAAAAGAGCUCUGUAAGUAAUGCAUUUCGUUUUCUGGAAAACAUAAAAGACAGAAGCAAGCCAUCUUCUGGAACAGCUAGCACAUUUGCCACUGGUCAUCCUGUUUUCAAUCCUAGCAGAGCCUGCAACAGCCCUGAUUCUAUUCCAGGAGAAAGAAUUCAGGAUCUGAUGCAAGAUCAGAGUUUUAAAAUGACCCCACAGGAGAGAACUAAAUCUAUGCAAGCAUCCAGUCAACCUAUUGCAACAUCUGUAAUCUUAUUUCCUAAUCAGGGAUGUUCCACUGGCAUUCCCAGCACAGCUGAUGUAUUACCAAAGGACAAAAACAUCAGUACAGGCUUUUUAAAAAAUACCUUAGGAAAAAUGACUGAAACAAAAGAAGAAAAUAUUAAAUGUAUGAAUGAUAUUAUUUCAGAAACAUCUUUAUUUCAGGACAUACCAAAUGCCUCAGUUCUGUCAGAAGUUAAGCAACAGAAUGAUAAAGUAAGAAAGGGAAAUAUAAUUGAAAAUACGUCACUGUUACCUGAUACAGAGUUCGAUUCUGACACUUCUGCACAGGACAAAAUCCUGAAAAAUAAUUUUCUUGAUAGAAAAAGAGUGAAGUUAUUCAGAAGUAUCUUAAAGAAGGGUUCUGAAUAUGAAUCCAGUAAUUUCAAAGCUAUAGUUACAGACCAUGCGAUCAGUUUUGGAACUCAACUCAUGUCAUCUAUCAGAGACAGUUUAGAACUGGCAAAAAUAAAAAAGAAAAGUGCACAAAAUGAAAAAUGCAAUAGGAAGCUAAAAUGGUGUGAUGAAAUUGACCAGAUAAUAAUAGAAAAUAAUGAAAAAUGCUGUGAAAAAAGCAUCAGAGAACUAUGUUCUUCAGAACUGCAAUGUGUUCAAACUGCAAAUAACAUUCCUAAGAAUAAUUUAAGUAUUGUUGCUUCAAACCUCAUGUUCAUAAAAAAUCCUCAGGAAAAUUCUCAUAUGUCAGAACCAAACAUUAAUACUGAAAAAUCAAAUAAAAAAUACCCAUCUCAGAAUAUAUUUACAACUACAGGAUCCUUUUCUGCUAAGAAAGCUUGGAUGGCAUCAAAAGAUGAAGCAAGUAAACCCCCAGUAUGUAGCAAUAAUGCUAAAAUUGAAGAAGGUGAUCAACUCAAAAAUAAGGCAAAAAUAUCCAGAAGAGCAACACCUUUAAGAGUCCAGUCACGUUUUAUGCCCAAGAAGAGAAGAGGCACUAUGAUCCAACUGCAGUCAGCCACUGAAGCCAACAAAACUCAGAAAGCUCCAGGGAAAUACCUCACACCUCACCCACCUUCCACACCUCUGCCAGGAAACAGAAGUGUUGAGAACACAGCUACCCCUGGGUGUCAGUCACUGCUGCCUGCCAACCUGCAAGCUACUGGGGCUAGCAGCAGUGACAGGCAUGUUGUGCCAGCCAGUCAGGUUUUAAAUGGGAGCAGUGCAGGAAACAGUGAGCAUAUUGCUGGCUGUGCUGGCUUGGCCACUGCCAUCUCUACACCUGACUGCAGCACAGCCAAAUACAAACCUUGGGCAAAAAAUACUUGUUCUGUAAAUAAUGCUAAGGCAAGCGCCUGUCAAGAUCAUUCAGUAACUUGCUCUGAGAGAAGACCUGCUAACACAGAAAAUAGAUUACACCUCCAUCAUAUCCCAGCAGCUGGAAAAACAAGCACCUUCUGGCACGGAACACAUUCUACCCAAGUUCCAAAAGACUCUGCUACUGGUGGUGUUCCUGUUACAAGACAAAAUCAGGUUUUCGGCGACUAUUUAGAUAAACACCGAGGUUUUUCAGAAUGCAGAAGACAAAGUGUCAUCUCUAAAUUAUGGAAACCUGCUCAUCAUGCACAGAAUUCGUUAUGUGCUGUCCAGCUGAGUCCCAUUCAAUCUGCAUUUGAUCCAGUACAAAAGAUGAAAAACAUCUCUAAAACUGAGGAAGUUUCAGAAAGCACUGCUCAGUUUCUAGUGGCAGAAAAGCUAGCAAGUACACCAAUUGCAGAGUGUGAAAUCCUGGCAGCCAUGAACCGUGUGAAGCCAGACAGACAGCUCUCACUGCUUAAAAGGGCUCUGUGUCCAGGCAGGAGUACUCUUUCCAUAGAAGAACAGAAGAUUUUCCAGUCUCUGGAUUGCCUGAAUCAACAGCUACAAAAUGUUCAGAAAGACAUUACCAGAAACCCAUUUGCUACACACGUUUUGCAGAUAAGCAACCCUUAAGUAUUCAGCAAUGCAUGAGAAUGCCCCUUGUGAGAGCCCUGCAACAGCCUCACAGCAGUACCAGAGUACCUCCAGCUGGCAAUCCAAUGCAACUGUACAGCAGACACUGACAUUAUCUGCUACAGGAUCUUGUGGCUUUAUGUACUUUAUUUGCAGUGUGUAUACUCUUUGACACUACAAAAUUAACAACAAAAUUAAGAAGAAAGCAGAAAAUCAAAUAAUGAAUGUCAAUUGACUGCAAUGUUUUUAUUUGAUCUUCUUACUUGUGCUGUGAGGAGACUCUAGAAGAUGCUGAAUCUCUUGAAGGUUGUGCCAUCCUGUAGUUAGACUCCAGGAUGUGGCACACUAUAAUGCAUGCUUCUGUGCUGUUGCUGCAAAAAUACCCUGCUGCAAGCAGGGGUAUUUGUCUUCUUUCGAGGGGGGGUUGUAGACCAAAUAUGGCCCAGGCCUGUUUGAUAGUUCUCUCGUAAAUGAAAUGAUGACAAUCCUCUUAUGACUAGGAAACAUUCCAGAGCCAGAGUGUAGGGUUACACAAUGGUACAGUGUCUUGCCCCUGAUUUAUAAUUUGAGAAGCAGAUUGUGUUCAGACAGAAUGUGAGUUGAACAAUGAGGUUUCUAGUCCUGAUCUCAUUAACAGAGAUUUAUACCAAGAGGCUAUUGUAUCUUGUUCUUUUGCUUUGCCAUGCCAGCAAACAUUCAUAAGGUUAUUUAAAAAAGAAAGCUUCUGUCACACAGUUAGGUCAGAAAGUUCUCAGGAAAAUAGCUAGUCACAUUCAGAGUGGUCUAAAUCUGCACUUAGCUAAGGCUUAUGUUUCUGGCCUUAAUAAGUCUCACAAUGAUUACUUGAAACAUCAUGCUCAAGCUUAUUAUAUGUUAAGAUUUCUGGAGAUGGCAUAAAAUACCUUUUGAUAUAUUUAUUUUUGUUGAUGGUUCAGUCACUCUAAAAUAACUAAUAUUUGCAAAUCAUCCAUAAUCACCAAAAGAACAUUCUUCCAGUGCAGAAGAACCAGCAGAAGGUGAAAUAACAAUAACAUCUUGAGAGCUGCUUUCCCUCCUGCUGCCCCAGAGCCUGUGAGCUGGGAACCUACUCUUUGUCGACAGCCAAGCAGUCCUUGUGCAUCCAGAAGAAGAUGUACAGCACAUUAAUUAAUACUUAGUAAUGCUGCCAGGCAAUUUGGCCUGAUCACCCAUAGAAAGAAAAUGGAGGUUCCUUUCCAUGCUCACCACUGCCCUGUCUGUAUGUGUUCACAAUGCAGCUCUGAAGCCUGCAGUCCAAUUCUGCUCAGAAAACCUCAGCAGGAGGCUGUCUUGGAGUGUCACAGCAAGACAUGAAGCCAUGCAGAGCACAGCAAAAUCCAGCAUGGCUCUUAGGAGAUUAAAGGGCACUGUAUAUCUGCAAUACAGGAGGCAUCUGGCUUCACAGUGCCACACAGCUGUCAUCACCACUUUCUCAUACUCAUGUGCGACAUGGACAGCUUAUCAUUAUCACGGCAUGUGACUUCCCAAUUUCACCUGCACUGACUACUGUGCAGUUGCUGGUAUAAAUAAGCACACAGCGCUAUUAGCCUGUUAGUCAAGGUCCUGUCAAAUAUCAAGUGCUGUAGUAAUACUCUCGUGAGCUGUGUUCUCCCAGACAGCUGAUGCACAUGUCAGAUGAGAGGCUGCUCAACCCUAAAUUUGAUGGCCAGUUUCCACAUAUUAAGCACCAAGAGUAGGUGAGGAGACAGAGCAGCAGAAACAUGUCAGGCAAACCUUCAGACAGCAGCCAUCUCCACAUCACAGAAAACUGCUGUUAAAUAGCAUCUCCUGUUGCAAAGAACAUGGAUUGGCCAGACUGUACAUAGAGAAACACUCUGCAGUACAGGGACACGGAGGACAGUGGAUGUUGUACAGACUGACAGCACACCUUUGGUGUGUUCAGUUUGUGACAAUAAGACCCAGUAAAGGCACAACAGCUGAGUCUUUGCAUGUUGAAUGAACAGCAACAGUCAUCCUUAAAUCCUCUGGUGGAACCUUCUGUUUGGUCUCCUCUGCCUGAACUCCCAGUAGAGUUUAAAUGAAAUUGUACAACAUCCUCUCAUCAACUCCUGGCCUCAGUGUUAUAGAAGAGUUGCACAGAAUUUUUCACCUUAAUUUUUCCAAUACAUCUUGAAACGUAUUCAGGUGAUCUUUGCUUCUUAUCCUGUAUCUUUGCUCUCUGGUAAGCCUGGGGAAAUAGGAACAUGUUGCUCACUUUUUCUGUGCCUUUCAAUGUUUUGCAUGUUUUUCCAGAAGAGUUCAGACUGCACUGCAAUAGCAGCUUGUCUAUCUUGCUAAUGACUUGUCACUGAAUGCCAGACAAGCCAAAUUUUAAAUAAUUAGGAUAGGAAUGAAUGACAUUUUCUAGGCAAUAUGUAAAUUAUAAGCUUUAACUAACUUUGGCAGUCUUCUGCUUAAUCCAUACCUUUUUUCCUUUGGCUGAAUGCUUGGUGUUAAGUGAUAGAAAAAGGUAAACUUUUCCUUUUUUUUUUCCUCCAAAUGUUUUAACUAUUCUUUAUCUCCCACAAAAGCUACACUUCCCAUAAAUCUUACUUUCUAGAAAGAAAGUUCUCCUUUGCAAGUUUCCUAUCCAAUUGAUUUCUAGCAUUUAUGCUUACUUUAUUAUGAAGAGCUGGAGAGACAAUCCCAACAGUUUGUUUUAUUCCAGUAAUUAAGGCCAAAAGAAAAUUAUCUGACAGGGCAGUGCUUAAAGCAAUGAAUCCUAUGUUAAAUUUUCACUACAUAAAAAAGUUUUCAAUUGCCUUCUGUGUUUACCUUCUUAGUCUCAUUGCCAUUCACACCCAAUGCAGUGCUUACAACAGGGUCACCCAGCCUCCCCUCUGAAAAUUGCCCUUUCCAUGUUUCUGGGGGCCUAGCACCAGAGUAAGAAAAGCAAGGCUGAGGUCAAGCAGGAGAGCUCUAGAAGAAAGCUUCUGUCCUCAGCUUUGGAAACAAGCUCCACAGUGAGUCUUCUUAAAUCACAUUUUGUAUUCACACACUCAGUCAAUAUGAAAAGACACACGUUAUUAGAUACUUUUGAAAAAAGGUAAACUUGACAGAAAAGAUUCUAUUGGUAAGAGCAAACCAUUAUGGCAAACUCACUCUCUGAGGAUUAGCCCCCUAUAUAAUAGGCUACCAGGACCAGCUCCUCCACCCCUUACUUUGCUCUGAAAUGUGUGUUCCACAUUAGCUACAUUUGUUACGCGUACUCCAUGGGUACCUCACUUUUCAGAGCACUCAGGUACAAAUAUAUUUGGAGUCUCAAAUGCCUUGUACCAAUGACUGAUGCCCAGGUAGUCUGUUAGCUCAAGGUAGUAGGGUAGUAGCAUUUCUGUUCAUGGGUGAGACCUAAACUUUGGAUAUGGAUUAGGUACUGGACCUGUGUCCUUACCUUAUGUAUCCUCUUAAGGUACAUGCAUGUAAUGCUGAAUCUUCCAGAGGCUAAGACCCUUUGGAGAAUGAAAUCAUUAGCUCUGGCUUCUAGUCACUCUAAGAUAGAUAGACCAAAAGUCAUAGCAGUUCUGCUGCCUCAUUAUCUCAAUGAGGAGAGAGAAGAGGAAUAUAAAAUACUUCUCCAACCCCAUUGAGGUUACGUUCUACUAUAAAUGAAUAUCUUGAAUAUCUGUGUCCUGAAUCUGUCUCCUGCUUCUGCAAGGGUCCAACCACAUGGUCCACUCUUGGUGUCAUUGAUCCCCCAUUAGGUCCCUUGCUCACAAGCUCUGAUAACUCAUGUUAAAAUCACAGGGUCAUUUACGUUAAAAAAAAAACCCGUUAAAAUUCUUGAGUGAAACCACUGAGCCACUUAAGGUGUCACAGAUCUGAUCUGUCCAUCCUCCCCUUCUCUGGAGAUUUGCAUCCCCAUGGCUCAGCUGUACUUCACAGCCCCAAAAUAUGUUAAUGAACAGCCAGGGCUGGGACCUGAGACACACCUCAGGGCUCUGACUCAUGAGCCUUGUCAUGGACAGCACUGGAAGUAAAACAAGUGUUUUCCAGGCUAUCCUCAAGGGCUAUUACAUAGGGGACAUUCAAAGAAGAAAUAAUUGGUUAGAAAAUACAUACUUGCAAAAGACAGACCCUCUGUAUGCUCUCAGUACUCACCCACCUUUCCUGUUUUCAGGGAUCUGGUAGAUGUUUUAUGCUCUUCUGGCCAUGAGCACAUGAUAGGAAAGGAGAGGAAACGGCACUAUAACAAUAAACACUACACAGGGACCAUUUCCAGCAAGGAAACUGCUCCUGGCACUGCAUGUCAGACAGUGGCUACACAGAUACAUAAAUGCUGGCUACACAGAUUAAUACCUCCAGGUUUUAUGAUUGCAGCUAAAAUACUAAAUAUUCCUGCUUUCUUCUCAAUUUAGGCCUAUUUUUUUUUCUCCAUUUGUGUCAUUAAAUCCACUGCUAUAUCAAUACCAAAGGAAAAUGGUUGCAGGGUCAGAAGCUUCUGGAUCCAAGCUUUGGCAGGCUGCAAAGGAGAAGAGGAAAGGGAAAGGAGUUUCAAACUCAGCUAACUGUGGCAUUACCAUCCCCAGGAGACCCUGCAGCAAGGUGCAAAGCUUGCCAAAAGCCAUUUGGGUACACAGAGUAAUUUGAACAGCAAGAUCUCCUGAACUGUCUCCAGCACAGCUGUGGUCUAAAUGUAUUAUUUUAUUGACCAUAUAGGUGCAAUGCAACUGUCCUUUGUGCAUAUGAGUUGGAGAGAGCAUAUUGGUCCUCAUUUUGUUUUACUUUCUAUCAGAACUUGUAGUAGACUCAGUCUCAUCUCUUCUUUCACCUAAGAAUGCUGUGGGCUACAUGUCAUUUGAGAGAUUCUGUACAAAUAUCAGAGAAUCAAAGAAUCAUGGAAUAGUUUGGAUUGGAAGAAGCCUUAAGGACAACCUAGCUUCAAACCUCCUGCCAUGGGCAGGAAACCUUCCACUAGACCAGAUUACUCAGAGUCCCAUCCCAAAUGGCAUUUGACACUUCCAGGGAUGGGGAGUUCACAACCGCUCUGGACAGCCUGUGCAAGUGCCUCGCCACCAUCACAGUAGACAAUGUUUCCUGAUGUUUAACCUAAACAUUGCACUCUUCAGCUUAAGGCCAUUUCUUUUUUUCCUAUGACUGCCUAUGGUUGCAUAGCCUUGUGAAAAGCUCCUCUCUGGACAGCUUGUAAGUCUCCAUAGUUUGCAUUGUAGCAACCCAAAUGGUGAAAACAUCAUCAGGAUAAACUUUGCCUGAAUAUCAUACAGAAAAUUGUGCUGAAAUUGUUUUGGGAGUGGCUCAUUUCCAUUCCUCAUGCAAUAUAAAAAAUGUUGAGACCAGUUCUAAAUUUUUCUGAAUCUGCCAUUAAUGGCAGAACAGAGACCCCACACAAAAGAAAAACAUCCUUUCAACACAACACCAACACAGCAUGAAGAAAGUCAGUACCAUCUUCCUGCAGAACACCUAACAGUUCUGUUUUCUCAGGUCCUGUCAUCUGGGCUCAGUUUUUCCAAGAGAAGUAAAUACUAGAAUUCUGUCAUCUAUCUUUUCAAGUGGCCUUUGUUGGCUAGUAGGAUUUGCACAAACAGGCAUCUCCACCAAAACAUAUUUCAAGUUUCCUAUUGGUCAUACCAAAGGUUGGUAAAUUAAAUUAUAUGCAAGACAAAAUCUCUUGAUUUAAAGUUUCAAUGAAGGAGGUUAUCAGGAGACCCUACAUCCAGUUUGUGUAAGUAUGAUUAUAUUCUAAAACAGUCAGAUAAAAUAGGUCAGACCCCAUUUGGGGAGUCAGAUGUCCCUACUAAUUCGGCAUGCUGAUAGCUCAGAAUCUGUUACUCACGGGUUUUUUAAACAUUGGGGGAUGUAUACCACAUGGAAGGGUGCAUUAUGAAAGCUACUUUUCAAUAUACUUAUAUUAUUAUAUCAAGAUAUGUAGUAAGUAUUAUAGUGUAUAUAUACUAAAUUGUAUAUAACUAUUAUUAUAUGUUGCUAAAAAUAUCAUUGCACACUUAUAUGGGGUCUUCUGCAAAAUGGGAAGCCAAGGAAAAACUUGAGUUUUGUGGCUUGCUGCAUGAAGCUAGGAAUAUGGAAGACAUGGGAGGAGACUACUUUUCUUUUGAAUGUAGAAGCAAGAUGAUUCUGAAAAGUGGGUCUAUUGUCUGCAAAAUACUUUAAUUUGGAUUUUGUGGAAUUGAUAAAAGUCCAAAUUCAAAACAAAUAUGUUGCGAUUAAAUCCGUAUCAGAAGUGCUUAUUUUGUUCUAUUUUUCUUCUUAAUUUUGAAAGGAGAGAAGGUGAAAUAAAGUAUUCAAUAUACUGAGAUGAAUAAUUAUUCAUACAACAUUAUAAUAGUCCAAGUUAGGGACAGGGUCCAAAGUUCCCACUCAUUUUAAUGGAAAUUAUGUGUCCACAUUUUUUGGAAAUAUUUUUAAAUCUCAGGUAUGAUUUAUUAACCAAGCACAAAAGCAUUUAAAUGGCACCCAAAAAGAUCAAUAAAUGCACAGAGCAUAUUGCAGCAAAUUGAGGUGAAUCCAAUAAUCCAAAGACAAUGCUUAGUUCAGUUUCUGAAUACCAAAGUAUAAAUCAUUUAUAGAAAUUUUGCAGAAAACACUUUAAAAGACAAUAUAACUCUCAAAAUCAUAGAGAUUUUCUCAGUCAAAGUUCUUGUUCAGUGAUACAUAGCUGUCAGCUACGUUACCCUUCUCCUGAGAGCUGACAACAAACACACAGCUUUGUGGCAGCCCUGAACAGUCCUAUCAGUUUAGCUUGGCCCUGCAUACAACAUCUGGCCCAUAAUUAAUACAGCAUUUUAAAUCCUUCUGGUACUAUAAAUUGCAAGAUAUAUUAAACCAAAUGAAUCUAAAAGUUACUGGGGUGGGUUUUUCUUGUUUCUAUUGGAGAAGAAAAAAUCUGAAGGGUUAGAGAAGACGAAGUUAUUAACAUAUUUUAAAAAGCCAGAGUACUAAAUUUGACAUCUCUGCCAAUUCCUCAGAUCUCUUUUGUCCUCAAUAAGACAGUGCUCACACAUUAGCCUGUGGAGUAUCAGAUGGCCCUUUUGUGCUUAUUCAUUUCCUAUAAAGAACGCGACUCCUGUGGCCGCUCAUGUUUCCUUUGGCAGCUGAGAAGCCGGAGAUUUGCCACGCUGUAAAUCUGCAGCUGUAGCAGAGCCCAGGUCCCACCAGGUUCAUGGCCACUGUGUUUGCUGUGUGCUGAGGAGGGGCCCCAAGCUGACCCCUUCCCCAGGCCACCACGUGUCACCUACACCCCACUGAGAUCUGCGCUCCUACCCUUCACUGCCUUACCACCAUGGGGAGAACUGUACAUGAGCAAAAAUUAUGCCUUGAGGGAUUACUUGUGCUGUGUAUGGAUUUAUUCAGAAAGGGUGAAGAAAAUGUAACAAAUAAUUGUACGGCACCAUUGUAGACUGAGGAAUGAGAAGCUAUGUACAUCUCCUGUAAAUGUGAAGAAAUUAUGUAUGAGAAUAUUGCCAAAUGCAUCCUUUAUAACAACUGGAGAGAAACAGACAAUUUUAAGGUAUGAUCCACCUGUUCCUAUAGAUCUGAAAUAGGUCAGAUGAAUCAGUCCCUAAAAAUAUUUAUUUGUUUCUAUUGACUUGAAAGAGAGGUUACAGAUGAGCUCAGCCAUGAGCACUGUGUAGAAGUUAGGUGACACGCAUGCCAUUGGAGGCAGACUCAGAAGUGGUCUACUGACUUCUUGACCUUCCCUCUUGGCAUAUUGCUUUAAAAAAACUAGAUCUCAAGCUGAGAUGACCAAAUUUGGCUAAAAAAGGAUAUAUAACAUGCAAAUAUGAUGAUCACCAAUGCAUAUGCACCUGUGGCAUAUCUUGGUCCAAACUGAACACCUUCCUGUAGACAAAACUUUGUUCACUUGUAGCCAAUUCUCCUUCAUCCAAGUAACUUAAGUGUUGGAAUUCGAGAAGUAAAUGAGAAAUUGUGUUGCCAAACCUAAAACGAGAAAAUUUGAGAUAUCUGCAUCCUAAUUUCUGAUGUGUCCAGCGCAGUGGGACACUGGGUGUUCAGAAGCUAAGCUGGCUCUGCAUGGUUCAGUUUGGCUGUAUUUGUCAGUAAACAAAACGGAUCAGAGACAAUUCUCUGGCCCCAAAAACAAGUGACACACUACAUCUUGCAACCACACAGCUAAAUUCUUUCACCUAGAGCAGGUAGCUUUAUUAAUGUAGCAGUGGGGAAGAGUCCCAGGGCUGUGCCACCAGUUAAAGUGUACAGACCAUCAAUAGGUCACUGCCUAAACACAUUCCCUCUAAUCCCACUUGUUUCCUAUAGAGGAAAGCUAUAGAGGUGGUUUUAGAGUCUCAUAAAAUACACAGGUUCAGACAUUCUGCACAGUGAAUGUGGAUUACAGUUUCCAUCAGCCAGAUGAUACAUCUGUGUGCCUAGGACAUGGUUUAACCUCCACAAAGAUAAUCUGGCCAUCAAUAAGGGACAACUGGCUGUAUUUUCAAUAUCAUAUCACCUUGUAAGCAUAUCAAGGGAAAUCAAUAUAUUGCAGUAGCAUGUUCAAUAUUUACUGUUAGUGGAGUUUUAAUAUUACACUUUCCUAGUCUCUAGACUCAAGCUUUCAAGGCAGAGUUUUCAAUAUUAACUAAAUAAUUUUUCCAAUUGAACUCUAACCAACUCCACUACAAAAGUCUUAGUUAUUCUAGAUGAAAGAUUUAACACAAAGGAAAAAUGUUCUUUCAAAUUUAGUAAACACAAAGUACAUCUACACUAUCUUGUUGGUAUCUGCUGGAUUUUUGUGCCUGUUAUCUCCUGAUUGUUCAUGCUACUUGAGUGUUAGUUCACCCCCAAACUUAAAUCUGGAGAAAGGUUAGUUGUUUAUGGGCUGGUAAGAACUAGGCAGAGAGGAGGAGAUAGUGUGUGCCAGGGUCCCACCCCCACACUGUAGGAAGAUACAGUGUGAGUGUGACUCAUGUUGGGUUUGGCUUCUCCCAGACUAACCAGUAUUUCAGAUGGCCUCACAUCCUAAGCCACCCUUGGUGUUACACAACAAAAGGACAUAUCUGGCAGCCUGCAAAGCAGCUUCCCAAUAGCAGCCCAGGGCAACAUCUUAAAAGGACCACAGCAAAUCAAUGUCUCCAUUGUUGGGAAGAUUUCUUAGCAGCAUUUAAAUAUUACACUGAGUGUCAUAGCACAAUCUGGUUUCAUACAAACAGGACUAGUGCUAGUUUUAUUUCACAGAUCUAUCUGUAUGUCCAUGUAUAUGCAGAUUAAUUUUGUGUCCCAGCUGUGUGUGUAUGUACAUACAUGCAGGAGGGGUAACCAACCCUUGGGUUCAGGCAGGCACAGCUGCCUAGGCUAUACCAACGUACAUGUGAUCCUUGUAAACCCAGCUUUCAAUGGAAUUCUUUGUGAUUCCUGACUGCUGUGAGGAUGAUCUUGAGAAGCAGGUCCCUGCUUUGCUUCUCCAGAUAUUAAUAUCCCUGAAAGUCUCCAGGAGGAGCUUUCUUUCUAGGCUGUGACAUCUACUCCUAUAGACUCACUGGAACAGGCUUCCCAGGAAAGUGGUCACAGCACCAAGCCUGACAGAGUUUAAGAAGCAUUUGGACAAUGCUCUCAGGAACAUGGUGUGAUUCCUGGGAAUGGUCCUGUGCAGGAUAAGGAGUUGGUCAGAUGGACGCAUUAUCAUUGGUGCUCCAGUCACUUGCUUAGAAGUUUUCACAGCAACUGGAUAUUUUUUCUGUAGGGAAUAUCUAUACUGCCAAACCAAAGGGGACCAGGUAAUGAGCUCAGGCAUUCACACUUACUGUUACAUGGCUUAAUUCUUACUGCUCUCCUUGACUCUGUUUUGGAGCCCUUCAGCUGUCACUGAGAGAAGCCAGUUUACAGGGAGCUGACCCUGUGGAGUGUGGACACGAGCCAGUCAGGGCUAUUCAGCUUCAAGGCUUGAAUCAACUCAGCAGAAUAAACACAGCCAAACAGUCUGUAUGUUCAAUGAGAUGAAAAGGAGCAAACAAUUCUGAUUCCAUUUAAUGCCAAUUUACGGCUCUUAACAUUGCCUUUCCCACAAAUCAAGCAGUUGUAUUGUCUAGCUGAGGGCUUUUGUCCAAUGACAGGAUGAGAGUCUGAGAAAUCUGUCUGUUCUGAUAAUGUUGCAGAGAGUGUUCACAUUUACUAUCAAGGCUUCACUAGGACAUAGUCAACAUGUUGAUUUUGCUAAAAUAAAUGUCUGGAAUAAAGGAAGACACUAAAAAUAAACAUGAUCCUAGGAAGGGCAUUCACUUUAUUUUUGCCCAGAGAGGAAGAGGUGUAGCUUGCCAGCCUUUUUAGUUGGUUGCUAACCAAAUAAUGAACAGGAAUAAGCUAAUUCUGACUAUGUUUUCAAUUACCUUAGGGAACUUGAUGCCAAUGAGUUUGAAGUUUUUUCUCUUAACAUCUGAAUACUUCUAUGCAAGGACCACUUUACAUAUAUAUGAUGACCUUCAGUGCUCCAAUGUAAUCAAAUUUCUUCUACAGCUUCAUAGAAUAGUUUGGGUUGCACAUGACCUUUAAAGGUUGUUGUGCUGGUUUUGGCUGAGAUAGAGUUAUUUUUUUCAUAAUGGCUUGAAUGGGGCUGUGCUUUGGAUUUAUGCUGAAAAGUUUGUUGAUAAUAUAGAGACGUUUUCAUCAUAGCUGAGAAGGGCUUAUGGAGUCCAGGCCUUUUCUGCUCCCCACCCCAUUCCACCAGUGAGGAAGCUCAGGGUGCACAAGAGGUUGAGAGGACACAAUCAGAACAGCUGACUUAACUGCCCCAAGGGACAUUUCAGACCAAAGGCAUCAUGCUCAGUAUGUAAAAUGGGGGGAAGAAAAAAGAAGGGGUGGAAUGUCAGAGUGAGGUUGUUUGUAUUCCCAACUAACUGUUAUACACAAUGGGGCACUGCUUUUCUGGAGAUGACUGAACACCUGUCUGUCUUUGGCAAAUGGUGAAUUAAUUCCUUGUUUUGCUUUGCUUGUAUAUGUGGCUUUUGUUUUUCAUAUUAAACUGCCUUUGUCUCAA